rnacentral:misc_RNA from 1 species
GAAAAUUAUGGGUUCUUCAUAUAAGUGUUUAUACAUAUAAUAUAAAGAAAUAUGAUUAAAUCAGCUAUGCAAAAAUAACUUUCGUACCUCGCGCUGCGAUACUGCCUCUGGAAGAGCCGUAACAAGUGUCAAGCGAAAGGAAUUCACGAAAGUUUCUAAUUUUUAUUCAAUCAUUUUUGUGCUUAUCGUACCAGCAAUAUCUGAUAAUGGAUUGAAGAUAAGACUACAACUAAGCUACAAAGGGGCCAUGAUAUCCUGAAAUGGUUUACUCUUUCAAUUCAGUCUCCACCUGUCCCAAGAAUAAACUCAAGCGGAAUCCCGUUAGCUGCCACUAGCCCGAGGCCGGUGGGUACCUGGCCGAGUCAUCAAAGUGUGAGCGAAUGUUUGACAAUCAGCAGAGGGAAAUUCAUCAGUCAACCAAUGAUGGUGACUUGUUGCUCAUUGCCAAGGUCUAUGACGGUCCACAAAGAUGAGUGAUCAUUGCGUUGCUAUCAUGAUUCAUCAGCUAGACAAAUUUUCUCAUGAGCCCCACGUUGAUACGUAAAUGACUAUGCUAAUUGAGAAACCGAAUUACUUCUCUUUGUUUUUGUAUGAAAUAUUUUUUUUAGACUGAUGUUUGAUAAAUAAAUAGCAUACAUUUUUUUAUUCACUACACAGUUUCGACAGG